AGUGAACGCUGGCGGUAGGCCUAACACAUGCAAGUCGAACGGCAGCACAGUAAGAGCUUGCUCUUACGGGUGGCGAGUGGCGGACGGGUGAGGAAUACAUCGGAAUCUACUUUUUCGUGGGGGAUAACGUAGGGAAACUUACGCUAAUACCGCAUACGACCUACGGGUGAAAGCAGGGGAUCUUCGGACCUUGCGCGAUUGAAUGAGCCGAUGUCGGAUUAGCUAGUUGGCGGGGUAAAGGCCCACCAAGGCGACGAUCCGUAGCUGGUCUGAGAGGAUGAUCAGCCACACUGGAACUGAGACACGGUCCAGACUCCUACGGGAGGGAGCAGUGGGGAAUAUUGGACAAAGGGCGCAAGCCUGAUCCAGCCAUACCGCGUGGGUGAAGAAGGCCUUCGGGUUGUAAAGCCCUUUUGUUGGGAAAGAAAAGCAGCAGGUUAAUACCCCGCUGUUCUGACGGUACCCAAAGAAUAAGCACCGGCUAACUUCGUG
rnacentral:rRNA from 1 species